rnacentral:rRNA from 1 species
AACGAACGCUGGCGGCAGGCUUAACACAUGCAAGUCGAACGCCCCGCAAGGGGAGUGGCAGACGGGUGAGUAACGCGUGGGAAUCUACCCAGUUCUACGGAACAACUGAGGGAAACUUCAGCUAAUACCGUAUACGCCCUACGGGGGAAAGAUCUAUCGGAAUUGGAUGAGCCCGCGUUGGAUUAGCUAGUUGGUGAGGUAACGGCUCACCAAGGCGACGAUCCAUAGCUGGUCUGAGAGGAUGAUCAGCCACACUGGGACUGAGACACGGCCCAGACUCCUACGAGAGGCAGCAGUGGGGAAUAUUGGACAAUGGGCGCAAGCCUGGUCCAGCCAUGCCGCGUGAGUGAUGAAGGCCUUAGGGUUGUAAAGCUCUUUCAGUGGGGACGAUAAUGACGGUACCCACAGAAGAAGCCCCGGCUAACUUCGUGCCAGCAGCCGCAGUAA